rnacentral:rRNA from 1 species
AGAGACAGCAGCCGCCGCGGUAAUACGAAGGGGGCUAGCGUUGCUCGGAAUGACUGGGCGUAAAGGGCGCGUAGGCGGAUGGUACAGUCAGAUGUGAAAUUCCUGGGCUUAACCUGGGGGCUGCAUUUGAUACGUAUUGUCUAGAGUGAGGAAGAGGGUCGUGGAAUUCCCAGUGUAGAGGUGAAAUUCGUAGAUAUUGGGAAGAACACCGGUGGCGAAGGCGGCGACCUGGUCCUUGACUGACGCUGAGACGCGAAAGCCAGGGGAGCGAACGGGAUUAGAUACCCGCGUAGUCCCUGUCUCUUAUAC